CAUCAAAAACCAAGUCUCUAAGCAAUGGAUGUCUUGGCUCCUCACACGAUGAAGAACGUGGCAUAAUGUGUUAAGUAACCGGAGUUGCAAACAUCAUGACAGGUUAAUCUUUGAAUGCAAAUUGCGCUAAACUCGAUCUCGGUCGAGAAGCAUGGGUGUGACAGUACUACAUCUUUUAUAAUAAUUCUUAUUCUAAGCGAAUAAGUAAAUAAUAUAUAAGACAAACAACACGUAGUCUGCCAUACGCAGGAAGACCCGCUGAACUGAAGCAUCUCAUUAAGCGGAGGAAAAGAAACUAACUAGGAUUCCCUUAGUAAAGGCGAUCGAAAAGGGAACAGCCCAACGUCUAAUCCCGCAAGG
rfam:Trichomonas vaginalis G3, whole genome shotgun sequence.